AGAAAGAAGAGGAAACCAAUCCUGC
rnacentral:piRNA from 1 species